ensembl:lncRNA
AUAAGAUAAGAUAAGAUAAGAUAAGGUCAACUUUGAACUCUGCAGUCAGUCCUUCAGUCUCGCAGAGCUUCACCUUCAUUCCAGCAAACAUGAACAAAAGCUUCGUCUUCCUCAAGUACGGCUUGCUUCUCUUCAGCCUGCUAGUUGGCAUUUUUGGAGUUGUGAUGCUCAUCAUAAAUAUUGUUUUGACGGUCGACGCCACAAAGCUGAUCGACUUCAUGUGGAUCCAAGUUCUUCUGGUGCAGCCAUGGCUCACCAUCUUUGUAUCCUUCGCCCUCGCGGCUCUGGGCACGUACGGCAGCAUCACCGAGAAGAAGACCCCGCUCAUCGUGUUCUGUGUCUUGAUGUGGAUCAUUACCGUCAUCCUGGUGAGCUACGGCACCCAUAUCGUUGUGAACGUCUCCCAGGUCAUAUCUAAUGCACCUGAAACCAGCCAGGUUUUCCACAAGCCCCUGAGCAUUGCAGCAGGACUCAUCUUUGGACUUGUUCCCUUCACGCAAGCAGGAUCUUCACAGCUCCUGGACCAACCACAUGGCAUCCUGGAACUGAAACCUGCCAGACUCCCCCAGAGAGUCCGCCUCCACCAUCUGACCACAUGCACCAGCCCAGGAACAAAGUCUCCGGCCCACUAAAGGUCACUGCUCAGCAGGACCAGAGCCAUCGUCAGGACCAUGAUGACAAGGACCCUCCUUCUUCCACUGCUGCGUCUUCUUCUUCUGCACCAGCAACAAGCACCGUUAGCACAGACCUGUUAACUGACAACAAAGGAAUCAGCAGCUGAUCCUUGGACAACAAAACAGCUCUUCUUCAAAGACGAUGGAACAUGGUAACUACUGGCCAUUAGAAUUGAACAAGUAAUGCUAAAUCUAGACGUUUUUGAUUUUAAUGAUGUCUUGAUUUAUGAAAUUGAAAUAUGAAAGGAGUUCAUCCAAGGAGGGAUUUUGCACAUCAAAAUGAUACGUUUCACAGGUAGUGCCCGAAAACAAGGAGGCUGUCUGGGUAUUGAUAGCGCACACCCGCCGAGCCGGAGCGCACAGAGUGACCAUGCACUGAGACAGCGUUACCGCAAACAGUAUCGCAAAGUGAUCAGAAAAGUGCGUUUCACAAAUAUCAAUCAUCCUUACAUUACUGGAGUAUCAAAGUUUAUCACAAAUGUCUGAAGCUCAAAUCUGGAAAAUGAAUCUGCCAGUACCUGCCAACAAGUGUAACUGGAUCUGUACACGGUUGCUCGUCCUCCACCUCUACCCGUGGUCUGGGGCGAGUUAAGACAAAAGCAGUCAGGAGGUAAAAGUUCGGAGAUGGAGUCAACUCAUCAACUUGCAGCCAUGUCUCCAUGAGCAACAUAAAAUCCAGUUUCCGCGAUGUGAAGAGAUCAUUAAGAAUAAAUGUUUUGUUGGCUAGCGAUCUAGCAUUCAGCAGGCCCAGGCGCAGAUUCACAUCCUCGCAGGCCUGUGGAGAGGUGUGGCUCAGCGGCUGGAGAGAUCCAAAAUCCACGGCGAGGUGCGUGGCGAGGUGCUUGUGCUGCUAGCAGCAGAUGCUGUAGGCCGGGGUCCAGGCACGCAGGAGCCACGGGCUGAAUCCAUCACAAUCCAAUUGUCCAGGCGUACAGAGGAGAGGAGUAACCCCCGAAUUAGAUCUCCAGCAUGCCUUGAUUCUCACAAGAACGCCUCCGCGCUUUCUGGCCUUCUUCCUCCAUGUUGAGACAGGUGAGCUGGUACUGAGGCCAGGUGAGGAGGAGCUUUGGAUGUUUGAUCCUUAGAAUUGCAACUUAGCAAGACCCCAUAGGAUCGGUUCAGAUUAAUAAGUGCCUGGCAGUUAUAUAUACAGGCAGCAAACCAGAGAUAUCCUGGCACAAAAUACAAAAUAAGCAGCAGUUUAAGCAGAGCGGGUGGAUGGCUGCCGGUACACACUGGCGCCAUCUUGCCCUCUUGCAUUCUUGCAAAAGUAUUGUCAAAAAUCACACCCUUUUUUCUUUUUGAGAAGGAUCAUUUAUAGAUUUCCAGGAUGACAAGAGCUCAGUCCAUGAUCAGCC